rnacentral:piRNA from 1 species
UCUCUGCGGAUGUUUUCUUGAGGGCCUC